rnacentral:rRNA from 1 species
CCUACGGGUGGCAGCAGUGAGGAAUAUUGGUCAAUGGGCGCAAGCCUGAACCAGCCAAGUCGCGUGAAGGAUGACGGCCCUAUGGGUUGUAAACUUCUUUUGUAAGGGAGUAAAGUCAGGUACGUGUGCCUUUUUGUAUGUACCUUAUGAAUAAGGAUCGGCUAACUCCGUGCCAGCAGCCGCGGUAAUACGGAGGAUUCGAGCGGUAUCCGGAUUUCUUGGGUUUAAAGGGGUCGUAGGCGGGAUGGUAAGUCAGCUGGGAAAGUUGGGGGGUCAACCAUAGAACUGCAGUUGAAACUGGCAGUCUUGAGUGGGCGAGAAGUAUGCGGAAUGCGUGGUGUAGCGGUGAAAUGCUUAGAUAUCACGAAGAACUCCGAUUGCGAAGGCAGCAUACCGGCGCGCAACUGACGCUGAUGCACGAAAGCGUGGGUAUCGAACAGGAUUAGAUACCCCAGUAGUC